rnacentral:rRNA from 1 species
GAUGAACGCUGGCGGCGUGCUUAACACAUGCAAGUCGAACGGUGAAGCAGAGCUUGCUCUGUGGAUCAGUGGCGAACGGGUGAGUAACACGUGAGCAACCUGCCCUGGACUCUGGGAUAAGCGCUGGAAACGGCGUCUAAUACUGGAUACGAGACGUGGCCGCAUGGUCAACGUUUGGAAAGAUUUUUUGGUUCAGGAUGGGCUCGCGGCCUAUCAGCUUGUUGGUGAGGUAAUGGCUCACCAAGGCGUCGACGGGUAGCCGGCCUGAGAGGGUGACCGGCCAAACUGGGACAGAGACACGGCCCAUACUCAUACGGGAGGCAGCAGUGGGGAAUAUUGCUCAAUGGGCGAAAGCCUGAUGCAGCAACGCCGCGUGAGGGAUGACGGCCUUCGGGUUGUAAACCUCUUUUAGCAAGGAAGAAGCGAAAGUGACGGUACUUGCAGAAAAAGCGCCGGCUAACUACGUGCCAGCAGCCGCGGUAAUAC